CAUAUUAUAAAAUUAGGUGACUUUGCCUAAAACUUGCACAUCGUGGUCUGCAGCUCUGGAAGCUGCAGUGGCCUCGGUAGGUCCUGAGUGUUCCAGGGCUGACGGGAGAUACCCGAGCUGCACUAGACGACAGAGCAACUCCUCACACCUUUCCAGAUGUGCAGCUGUGCUGGGAGAGGGUUUGGCAAGGCUCCCUGACAUGUCUGCACUUCUAUGGGAAGACAGAGGUAACCUGCAACAACAAACGUUGCCAGGUUGAUUAUAUUUGCAAGCAGAGAAUGGCAGGGAGAAGGGGAAGGGUUGGCUUUCCAUGUGGCAUUUGGUUUUCAGGUUUUCUUUACUAAACUGUCACGUAGGGUGAUCUAACAGUAUUGCAAAGACUAAAAGAAAUUGAUUUAGCCAUUAAAAAAAUAAGAGCUCUUGGUGCUCUAUCAGCUGUAGCUGGAAGGAGAGUUCAGGCUGGCACUAGAAAAUUUAUUAAAUUGUUUGAGUCCACAGAGAAGAUGAACUUGCAAAAACUCAGUGGUUGAUCUAUUUUAGUAUUUUUGGAGAGCAGCAUAGUGUUCAUCUCCUGAAGUAAUACCAGCAAAGUAUUCAGAGAGAUUUUUAUACAACCAUAGCUCUGCUUUGGCAAGAUGAUUAAUACUGAUAAUACAGUUCUAUAAUUUUCUUUAAUGCAGACUAUGAAAGCCAUGAUUAUCCUGGGCUCAGACUGAGCUGCGUCCUUUGGCUUCCUGGAGCGGAGGAGGAAUUGCUCCUGAAUUCCACUGAAUUCCUGAAUGUACCACAGAGAAGUCACUGGCCCCAGAUUUCAUAGUUCAAGAGACUGAUUUCUGUGAAGUUAAGCUGCGCAGUUCAUAAAAUGCAUGUGUAAUUGCUUUCCUAAACUCAUUAAGCAAUUCCCAAGCCUGUGCAUCUCAAUCAGAUUCCCCUUUUUUUACUGAAUUGAUUAUUAGUUAUCCGUAUGGUUUAUCAGCUAAGGCCUCAACUGCACCUGCCCCAAACUACUUGCAGACAAAAAAGAGAAGGUGGUUUUGGAACAUGAUUUGGAAGCAGAACUCCUCUCCUCAAGAUGCUUAAAAAAAGAUCCAAAGAAUUGAAAGAAUCCUACAAAGUCUAGCACCUACAUUGAUUGACCGCUUCAAUGAUCUGUGUGGAAAGUGGACACAUCUUAAACCUUAAAUUUUGGGCCACAGUCCCCUACUGAGGGAUGUAGGUAGGUAUCUUCCUCCAUCUCCUUUGUUUCUUAACCAAAAAUCAUUCUCAGAGGCCCUUGCUAUGAUAAAAUCGGGUCUCAAUUUUUUGUUUUGAAUAACUGUUUCUGAUCAGCCACCAGUUCAGCCUUUGACACGACUCCUGUACAAAGGUAUUAAUAUUAAACUAAAGUGCACAUCUAAAAUAACUCAGUCAUCAUCCUGGCACUCAUUUUUUGUCUGUGCAACUGCUUAUAGCUGCAAAAAUAUCUCCAUGCAGUGGGACUGAUGGUACUUGGGCUUGAAAACAGAUGUUAGCAGCUGGUUCCCCACCGGUGCAGGACGGUAAGUGAAGGCACAGUCACCCAGGACAGGCUGCGGCUCCCAGCAGCUGCUCACAAGUUAUCUGCUUUUUCCCAGCCUCUUUCCCUACAUUUACUACGGUUUGGAAAGGUUUUGUAUCCUCCGUUACUGGAAAUGCUUAAUUCACUCAUCCUCCCAGCUUUCAAAGUUUUUCUCUCUUUCACAACUCCUACAAAUAUGAGGGGGUGUGGAUCCUUGGGCUUCUCCCUGCAGAAUCAUCUUCCCUUCCUAUUUGUAGUUCCCUUUCCUAUUUAAUGUAAGUAUCCCCUUUUUAAGAGUGCAAAAAGUAGAAAAGAAAUGCAAUUACAUACAUUGUUGCUGAUAUUUCCAUUGAAGUAAUGGAUUUUUUUGCUAAUAAUAGACAAUAAAUGAACACAGUAACAGUGGAUCCCAUCUGAAUUCUCACUUACGCUAAACUGAUAAAAGCAAAUUCCAAUUCCUGUACUACUUUUAUAAGAUAAUGUCUGUGUAAGUAACUCCUGUGGUGGAUAAUGGUUUCCAAUCCUUGCUGGGAGAUUAAUGCCUUAGCAAAGUCCAUGGAUUGAUAGAGGACAUAUUUGCAAUGUUUGAAGCCUGGUUUUAUGCUUUAGAUGGGACACAGAGGGCACUUCCAGGCUCAUUUACAGUUCCAGUAUUAUACAAGUACUUAAUUAUUUAUUUCGAAAGCAUUAAAAAGGAACAUGGCAAGCAAAUAGGAAACCUGUGUCCUCACCAUUUUACUAUGAAAUUCAUCCUGAGACAGAUGAUCCACAAAAUGUUUCCAGAGUUUAAAAAACUCUGUGUUGAGUAUGUAGAAUAAUGGGAGUGAGGGUCUCUGCGUGGCAGCAUUGCCAUUCCUUCUAAAAAACAGGGUUUCCAGCCCUAGUCUGCAUCCUAUUUAAUUCCCUGAAAACUCCAUUAAGAGACUUCUACAAGGAGCAGAGUGCAGACUUGAUCCUUUCAAAUUCCUUUCCAAGCUAAGCAGGUUUUUCCAGGGAAACACAGGUCAGACAGAUAUAUAGCAAGUAUAAAAAGUAUGGAAAGAUGUUGCCUUGGUUCUGAAAAAUCACACUCUUGGUAGUGCUAGGCUAGUUCACCCAGGAGCUAAAGAUGAGAAUUUUCAGUGGAAAUUGAAAUAGUCUCUGUUCCUCACCAUCAGAACAUGUUACUUAUUGAAACAGGAACAUUUCCAAGUUCAAAGUAAAAUAUCUAAUCAAAACAUGAGAGAGAAGGAACUUACAUAAGACAUGGAAAAUCUGAGGUCAUGUUCCACCCUGUCCAGAUAAAUGUCCUAAUUGCACAGCUCUGGGUAUCUAGGGCAGAUCUCACACUCUUUCCCAAACAAUUUCAAAAGAGCUGAGUUACAUUCUCCCACAGAACAAAAGUCUACUUCAGAACUCACAUUAUUUUACAAAAUCCAUAUUCCUAGACAAGUAUAGUGUCUGAAAUCAGGGAGCUUCAAUUUAUCCUUCUUCAAGGGGGACUCUAAAGUACCAACCACUCCAUAUAGUCUCCUCAGUUGCGAAGACAAAUAGCACCAAAGCAUCCAGCCCAACCUCUCAUGCACAUCUGUCCAUUGCUGUGUACAUUACUUUUUGUGUUUGUUUGUUUGUUUUUCAUUGCUAAAUUCUGAUAGAAAGGCAAGGUUUCAUGAUGUAAAGCCCCAUAUUUAGGGAAGAGAGACCUGAUUUUCAAAAGGAUUUGGUGACAAAUUGUUUUAAAGGAUACACCAGACAGUAGUUAUCUUGGUCCUGUUACUCACUGGCUUAGCUUUAACACUGACUAUUUUUGUUCUUUCAGUAAAUAGCUGGGAAAUGUCUUUCCAGAUUAGUUUAGCCUAUGGUUGGGGAACGACUAAAAAAAGAAGGCAAAAAAUCUUCUGGGAGCUGUAGAGUCACAGGCAGUAACAUUUGGGGAGAAAUCGAAGGGGAUACAGCACAUGCAAAAUAAUAAAAAUACAAUGGCUGUAAUAAAAAGGCAACAAAUGGUGGUAAAUCACUGGAAGGAUUGCAGGGAAAGCCCUGCCUUGGUGAAAGGUAGGUAUGUGGCAUCUGGCUUUGCACAGCUGAACAUCAUUCUUGGCUGCUCUAUGGUGCAUCAGGUCUUGCUUUAGCAGGUCACUGUAGAACAUGCUUCAGGCCAAUCAUAUAAUCACAUACUUCCUUGAAUGAAAAACAGACCUCCAUCUGACCUAGUAGUUUUGUACCUGAAAGGCUUUUUCCUUUCAUUCCUAUCCAGAAAUGAUUUUUGUUUGUGAUGCAGUCUUGAACAUAUAAAUUGUGCUCUUUGGUUUUUGUUCUGCCUUUAAUCCCAUUGUCAUUACCGUAAGCACCUUUCACGAUGGUCUUAACCUUGGACACAUCACUGUCAAAACCCCUGGUAUUUCUAUAAAAUUGCAUUGUCAGUAAAAAAAAAAAAAAAUGUGCAGCUGUUUUCCUAAAUAUCUGCAGCAUGUUACUCCAGACAAUGACUAACAAGAAUUCCUCUCACUGAGCCUAGAGCAGCAAAACAUCAGUUUAUAUUAAUUAUGGAGAGUAACAUUAUCCCACAGUUUGACCCAAAUUAUUUGGUAUUUGACCAAAUAUCUUUCUAAAGUAAUACCCUCUGUUUUUAGGGCAAGGAAGCUCUUUCAGGAUUGGCAUGCAUUGAAAUUCACAGCCCAUUGGUAAUGUAAUCACAGUUCUGUGUUAAUUGAUCUUACUCAAGAUGACUCCUGCAUGUCAUGCAUGCUGUCCCAGAGCUCAAGUAGACAGAAGAAUGUUCCUUGAUAUAUUAUUUAGGGCAGGAGAAUUCACUUCUGACAAUACAAGAUUUUAUUCUACCCGAGUUUCAAAAGCUCAUGUUUGGGAGAUAUUCAACAAUAAGGCAAAGCUUUGAUCUCUUUUCUCAUGAAUGAUGGAAGAAUUCUUAGAUUUACUGCCUAAAAUUUCCACUUUAUUAAGCUGUCAAGUUUUGCUUGGUGGCCUACUACAGAGUGAAAUACUAAAUUUGAUUUAAAGGUCAGAGGAGAUGUGUGGCACCUACAAUCUGCCUCUGAAUUGUUUUUGUAACACUAAAUAGAGUUUACAAGGAGAGAAAAUUGGAACUGGUCAGCAUAAGUCAUUCCAAUCACAGUGUCUUUGAAAAGACAGCUCUACUUUUAACUACACUAAAAGAUAAAGGAAACGGAUACAUUAGUGUGGUACUCUGGGAUUUAUGGAAGUCCAAGCAGAGUUCGGUGACUGUAAUUGUUACAGCUAAACAAGGGAAAUGCAUCAGGAAAAUGUUUCUAACAUUAAUGCAGCAGCCACAAUUAUAAGAAACCUUAAUUUGGGGAGACACUUUAAUCUGAAUUUACUAGAGGUCUAAAUAAACUCACAACAAUAGGCUCUGACCACCCUCCCAACAGACCUUGUUAUUAUUUCUGUAUCACUACAUCUUUUAAUUCACAACUCAAAUAAGGCCCCAGAAGAAAUUACUUUCUUUUAAAAUAAUUUUACAACUGCAGCCAAAUAUAUUAUCAUUUUAAUUAAAUAUAUGAAGUAUAACAAGGGCCAAGAUAUAAAUUUCUAGGAGACUGAAGCCUAAUUUAAUUUCCAUAUUUAAUAUAUAAAACUUAUGACAUCUAGAAACUCCUAAUAUCCUCAUUUUCCUCUUAGUACAGUCCUUUAUCAUGUACAUUUCAUUAGUCACAUAGAUAAAAAAAACAAUUACAAACUAACUGUUAAGUCUAUAUGAGACAUUACUUGGUAACAAAAUCUGGUGUUAUAUUAAGUGGAAAUUUCUGUUUCAGAAAAAAAAGAGAGAUAAUUUCCAUCUACCUCAUUAAAGAAAAUAGAAGUUCACUCAUAAUCACCACUUGAUUCUCUAUAUGGUGUCUGACUUUGGUUUCUGAUUUUCUUGCUUGGAAACUUAGAAGGAAAUAGCUCUUCCCUUAAGAAUCCUGAAAAAGAGCUAAACCUUUGAGAAACCAUUCUGUGACAUUGUUCCUCUAUAUGGAAAAAGAAUUUAACCCUGGGCAAGACUGAAAUGAAUGAAAAUAUUGACAUUCAGCUGAGAAAGCAGCUGGGAAGUCAACUUGUCCCAGACUUGCUAAUUCUACCUCCUGACAGUGAAACACAAAACCCCCCGGGCUGACUGCCUGGUACCACAUUGCUGGGAUUCAGCAUAAUCCAAGAACAGGGGAAGCAGAAAUAUGUUACGGUUGUUCUCUAUUUUUUGACCUGACAGUUGCCAUUUGGGCUGCGUAUAUAAUACUUCACUUUGGAAAGCUCACACGUACCCUCUCCCUGCCUGUUUCCUACAGCUUUCAAUAAAAAUGUCCAUGUCUCAAUUUUUAUGGCCUUUUCUCUUACAUUAAGGGUCACUGCAGAUUAAAAAUACAGUUUGAAGGCAGAAAGUGGCCAUGGUUUCCAAGUUUUAGCUUUUGACUUUUUCUUUGAGGUUUCACAUAAAACCCUUACACUGAAAGCAAACCUGAGCCUUUGAUCCAAAAGAGAUCCAAGUAUAGUUCUAGUUCAGGUCUGUUCAAGAAAUAUGACAUUUCAGAGAUAAAGUCAGGAAAAAUUUAUGAAUUCCUUAAACCAAAUAGAUUUGGCAUUUUUUUUUUCCUGUUUCCUGAAUGUCCUUUAUAGACUGCUUGGCAGAUUAAGACAAGAAGUGCAAUAUCUGAAGAAGUUCUGCAUUGAAUGGUGUGGUUUGGAAAUGCAGUGUUUGCAUUGAUGCAUUUCUAGUUUUGUCCUGGAUGCCAACCAUGGACCAAAAAUUCUUUCUGACCCAGCUCUCGACAAACACACUGACCUAAGACCAUCCGGUUCUACUGAUGUUGACAAACAGCCUGGGUUUGAGCUUUCCUUCUCGGCUUUUCUAUUACAUAUUUUCUCCAAACUCAAACCUGGGUUCCUAUCCAUGCAACAUAAAGAGGAGAUUCAUGUCUGAGCACAUGGGUUUGCACUACAAUUACAAAAUAUGUGUGUCUGAGAUGGGGUGUUGCCUGAGGAAACAUUACCUGGGGAAGGAGGAAAUCCUGUUGCCAACCGCGUGAGAUUGGCAAGUCAUCCCUGUUUUUCAGCCCAGAAUGAUACUGUUGUAAAAAACUCACUAAAUGCAGCUUUUCUGAAGGUGGUGCUGUGGCUGGAAGAGGUCACCCCACUCAGCCUGUGUGGCCAAAGAGGCUUUUUGCACAUACUUUGUGUCAAAACGAAGACACCUUUCAGUUGGGUUGAGACAUCUUCAGUCCCAGUUCUGAAGAUGACCUGCUGACCUAUCAGCAAAAGCAUUUUACGUCUGUACUUAAGUAAAUUACAGAGAAAUGAAUCACUUGAGACUGGUAGAGAGCUCUCAGAAAAACAAAACAAGCCCCUCAAAAAAACCCAAAUUCAAAUGAAGCAAGGAAAGCUUGAACUUGACUGCAACAUGGCAUAUAUUAGUGGGGUCUGAACUUUUAACAGUAAAGUGGCUGCCUGACAAGUAUUGCAAACUGCUGAGAAAGACAAAAAAAUACAAAUAUAUCCCUUUUUGUUUGAUCACUCGAUCACUUGAGAUUCUUCUCUGAAGCAGCAAAUACAGUGUACAAUAUAUAGAGGGUCUGCAAGAAUUUAAAUGACACUGAGUGCCCACAGUUUCUAUUGAUCACAGUUCUGUGUCUUCGUAGAAUAUAAAUGAUGAAUUAUCUGAUUCAGUAGCUUUAAACAAAGGAAGAGCCUAGACAGAAAAUGUUUAGCAGGACCAUUUAAUAAGAUAGCACAGGAAAGAUGGCAAGGCUUUCUUCCUACAGAUACAUCCAGCUUUAAUCAUAGAAGCAUAUCCACAGAUUUACAAACUCUCAUUAUUUUGAUGUAUUGCUGCAUUUCUGCUUAAAAAUAAAACAAAAUGUGUUAAGUUUGGCCUGAGAUGAAAUACUGAGUUUCCAGUACUAAAAUGUUGUAAUUAUUCAUACUGAAAUAUCAGGAAACCAGUAAGAAGAUAAACAUUGUUGUUCAUAUACUGACAAAGUGUGCCAACUGUUUCUGCAUGUGCUUCUAUUUCAGAAUAAACUAAUUAACAUUAGCACAAGUGUCAAGUCAUUAACAUAGUCUUCCGCACAAAGUUAUCAGGCUCUGAUUUAAACUUCACUUUCACUCAAUUAAAUGUAUAGCUGCUUUUCCCACUGCUCAAGCCAUCUAAUCUUAAAAAAAAAAAAAAAAAAAAAAAAAAGAGAAGAAAAUUAAAAAAAGAUAUAGAGAUAGUCACCCAAUACCUAACUGACAGCUUCAGCUAUCUCUGUGAUUAAUCUGUUUGGAUAGGCAGGAAAACAUGCAGUGAGUAGAUUACAAGACAAAGCUGAUGGAUAGUAUUUUUACUUCACAGAAGUUAGUUACAAUAAAUUGGAGAGUGUUCAAUAGAUUGGAUUUAUCAAAACAACAAGAAAUAAAUGGGUAGAAGCUUCCUGAAAGCAUUUUUUUUUUAGGUCUUAAAGCACAGAUUUGAGACUGGAUCCUGUUAUUAAAGAGAAGGAAAAUCAUACACCUGUGAGUGAAGGUUUCAAAUGUCUGUAUCUGCACACUGGUUUCAGGAGCUUCUACCUGAGGUUUUGGUUUGCAACCAUCUCCGCACAGGAGUGAGUGGGUGGGAAACAGCCGUGUUAGAGAUAACCCUGUGAACCCACUCCAGGCACACACUUCAAAAACAUCUCCAUGGACGCUGAAGUACAACACUACGUGCUGUGACAAUACUUUCUGAACCUGAAAAGCCCUCGCUGUGGGUACACAGCAUCAUCGCUUACCUACUGCAGUCCCUAAAGAAAGCAGCUUUUUGUUCGGCUCUCACGCUUGGUGAGAUGCUCAGGUAAGUUUGUUAUCAUGUGUGUUGCUUGUCUUUCUGAUAGGACGUUUUGAAACCAUGCAGUAGCUUCAGGAUCCAAAUUAAAAUUCUCCUGCACCAAAUGUAUAUGCCAUACUCAACCAGAUGCUAGCUGGGUUACACCUCAAACAGAAGAAUGGUUUAUCCAACCAAUGGAGCUCAACCCCUUUACCUCACUAGUUUGUUUCAGCUAAAAAUGUCCAUUAUGUAUAAUAACAUAUGCUUUAACUUGGAGUUUAAUAACAAGUGACUGCUAUGAAGCUCAGCCAGAAUAGCAACUGUAAACCAACAAGAUCCCUAUCAAACUACUGAAGCAAUGAAAUCAAGUAUAUCAGAUUCCCAAAUGACCUCCGUAAAUCCUUGUUCACUGACACCAAUAUUUGUUAACAACAGAAUUAACUUUUUAUUACUUUCUUUCAGGGACUGUAUUUGCCAACACUGAUUUUUGAAGCUCCUCAGAUCAACCAGACCAGAUAAAUUAGAUUAAAUUAGGUUUACUGGCCCUGAUGUGAAGACACAAACAUAACACUGAGGCUUAUAUUAAGCCAUGAUUUGAAGAACUUCAUGUAAUGCACUGUACACUAGAGGCUAAUAAAGAGAAAGAAAAGGAAAAGAGCUGCUAUCUCUGAUGCUUACACAACAUUCUCUGGAUAUUUCACACACAAAGAGUUACCUCCUAACCUGACAUACAACAUAUAGUACUCUGUUUGAAGGAAAUAUAUAUCCAAGUAAAAUUUGGUCUUUCAACCAAGGGGUGUCAAUAGAACUGUGUUCUGAGCAAAUGCUAUAGACUCAUUUCUAAAAUGGAGACACAGGUGGGAUUCUGAGAUGACAAAACAGCAGCAGGUAUAGCAUUCUCUUGGCUCAGAUGAGCAUAAAAAAUGCCUGAGGUGCAAAAACGUGCUUACUGUUUCAAAUAGGAGGGCAAAUAAGGGUAAAGAAGUGAUCAGAAGAUGGGAAUGGCAACGUCAGUCUUUCAGUAAUUAUGGAUCCCAAUUUUGUAAAAUGUUUUUUUUCUGUCAAAGUCGUGCAGGUGGCAAUAGUAAAAAAUAAUUCCUUUAGGAAGCUUUUGUUAUACUGGGCACUGACAGCUGCUGCAACAGCCACAGCCGUGAACCCUGGGAGUCCCUGUGAUGCUAUCGCAGCACUGGAAUUGUAUCCCUGCAAAGGGUUCACCCGAGGGAAAGUCAGAGCAUCUUCUGGGUUACCACAAGGAGUAAUCUCCUGAUUUUUCCUGAACCAGGCUGGUUUGUUUCUUCUCUGCUUUUCACACUGAUGUCUCUGUCUCAGUGCCAAGGAGACAGACUUUAAUACGGGGCCAGUGAAUGCUCACCUUGGCUUUCACUGUGAAAAAUUUGCUAAGUAAUAUAUAACAGGGAGAUAUGAUUCAUUUUUAUCCCAUGAAGAUUGCCUAUAGGCAGCAGGCAAUAUGUUUUUACAAGACAUUGCCUUUAUUCUGGAGUUUUCCUUGACAAGUUUGUACUGUUUAUGAAGGGGGAGGUUAGCAUCCGUGGCAGAAAUGUAAAUUACUUUAGUAUUUUCUUAACAACUUUUUGGCUUGAAUUUAUGUGAGAAACUAGAUGUGAGGAUUUAUGAAGGACACCUAUGACAGGUCUACUCUGCAAAAACUGAAGAGGAGAAACAAUAAAAAUCAAUAAACAGCAUUAAAAUAAAUAAAUUAAAAAAAAAAAUUGAAAGUAUCCCAGAAUUCCUCUGGUUCAUCUCUAAGUAAGUUUGCACCAGCAUCUCCCAGUGCCCUGGAAGAUGUGCAUUAAUCUGUGCAUUAAUCAGAUGAGACCUGACCUGGAGAUGCGUUUGCGGUUUUAGCUGAGAAUGUGAGUGUGCAAAGCUUCUUAAAGCAGCUCAUUCCUUAAACAUAACUUCUGAAUGUGCAAAGGCAAAUUAUCCUUGAGUCCUUAAUUUUACUGAUGGGUGAUUUUUGACAUAAGGCACAAUCUUUGAGAGGAGGAGGUAAUUCUUUAAACAGUCAAUGACCACAUGUCAUAUUUUUGUGAGAAUUUCAAUCUACAGAUAAAGGAGAUAAAGGAAAUAAAGGAAAUCCUGCCUUCUGUGCUAGUUACCUCUAAAAUUUCUACUUCAGAGUAACUCAUUAUUUGUGGUAACGUUAGACCCAGAGGUGUUCUCAAAUGUGAAACAUUGGAGCCAGACAAUAGUUGUUUGGAAGAGAGAAAUGUGUGCUCUACACUAAGACUGCAAAGCAGCAGCUGCACUUUUAAUUAAAACUUCCAUCCUAUAUAUAUCUCUGUGUGUUUGAGCGUUUCUUUGUUUUUAAUGAAAUUUUUAGAUAAAGAGGGUUUUUUUUAAUUAUACUUCUGCCUCCUGGUGCACUCCUUCCUUAUUCACUUUUGCUAUCAUGACUUUUUUCAAUUUGCGUUAACAGAUUAGGCCAUAUCAGAGCUUCUGAGUAUAUUAAAGGUGACGGCAGCAAAACACAGCUCUGUUUCUUGAGCUAUUCAGUAACAGUUUCUUUAGUCAACCUUCUUUAUCCCCCUCCUCAUCAUACACACUUUAAUUACUCUGACACAUACGGAUCUUAAGCAUAUUUGACAAAAAGUAAUGAAUGAAGUCUCACCACUCAUCAAGCAAAUGCCUCAACAUUGGCAUAAGUUAACAUUAUUAUCACCCUGUGGAUCUGCAGGUUAAAACUAGGGAUUUUUGACUUGGUGAAUUUGCCUGGAAUAGUGAUUCCUGAAGAGCUACUGUUCCACACAGGGCAGUUUGCAGUUUGUAAGUGUUGAACUGCACUCAAGUCCAGCAGAAGUCAGGGAAGGAUUUUUGGCUGCUAGGAAUGAAAACCUUAGAUCCUUGUGAAUGAGCAAAUAUGAGGAACAAGGAAACUAAAAGAAAAUUGUGAUGAGGUCUGGAGAUAAAGAAGUAGAAAGCCAAAAGCUCUAAAAUAAAAGUAAAUUAUUAACAAGAAGAGUGAAUGGUUUGAUUUAAGGAGAAGUUACAAAAUUAAGAAGCAAGUCACGCGAGGAUUGAAAAAAAUGGCAUUAAACACAGUGCACCCAUCAUGGCUCAGGUCUUCAGCAACAUGGUUUUGUGUUGAGUAUUUGGAUGAAAUAUGAAAGAGAAUUCCCUGCCAUUAGCUUGAUAACACAAUACACAGAGAUAGGAAUUUGCCUGCUUGACAAUUAAUAAAUAAAUACAGGGAAAUAACUGUUCUAUGCUAAAAUGCUGGCAGUUAAUUUUCCUGCCAUUGCCUUGCUUGCUUCUCCUUGCUUACACAGAAGACUCCUUUAGUUUUCUUUCUGCAGGCUACAGCACAGCACAAAUUUUCCUCCAUAUGUAGAACAAUUUUGGUAAUGUUGGCCCUUAAAAAACAAGAAAAUUUGGUUUAAAUUUGGUUUCAAGGAAUCAGCCAGGAAAAGGGAUAAUUGAAUGAAGGAGGUUUACUUUCAACUUCCCAGUCCUGCUUUCAAAUUUUGUCUCAUAAGCUCCUUUUCUGUCAAACCUCUAUUUUACAAACUGCUUGCUACAGUUUUAAUCUUCAUGCAAAAUAACUGCUGAGCAUAAAGUGUGUUUACAUCAAUCAUACUAGAAAAGUAAACAAAAUAGAAGCAGUAGAAUUAUGAAUGAAGAGUUGAUUAAUAAGUGACAGCAAAGAUUUGUGAUAAUGAAGGGAUGAAUAGUGCUUGUUUGGAAAUGCGCCAGUUACUCGCAAUUAAUUUUGCCAGCUAGUCAGCAGGAUACCUGCUGGCUUGCAAAGAAAACGGGCAUUUUCUACCCAGGUUGGUAUGCAUCUGCAAACUCUUGGGUACUAACAUGUUUGCAAUGUUUUAUGGCUUUGGACUGGCAUAACAAGAGCACAGUAGAUCUAACAGCCUUGACAACGUUUGAUGUUAAAUCUAAAUGCUCUAAUUGCAGAUUCUUGUUUCCAGUCCUUAGAGCUCUGGCUUGCAAAAGAACUGCUCCUACCUGCCUGCUGACGGGCACAUCCAGAGUCACCUCUUCACAGGGCAGACAAAGCAAGACCUUAGUUCACAAACUAGUUGGAGGGUGUUCACCCAGCUAAACAGCUAAGAGGCCACCCUAGACUGAUCAAUGCUAUUUGCUAGAGAAGGGGGAGAUGUGGGUCCCAGAUCCCUCUCCAUAAAAUGCCAAGUCAGGAGCAAGAAGCCACUUUUCUUUCCCUUGAGCAUAUUUGCAUAUAGAAGCAGUUUUCUAUGGCGAAUUCAUUAGUUCUCCUUUAUAGAGAUGGGUUAACUGAAAUGUAUAAACACAUACAAUGUCAGAUGUAGUGUGUUUUCUGAAAUCAUACAGCAAACAAGUGACUGACUCUGACAUCAUGGCCCUGGUGUAAUGACAGUCUCUCUCUUACUCAAAUCACAGGUCUAUCUUGCAGUCUGCUUAAAUAAAAACAAAUAACCCUAGACCAAACUUCUAGAAAAAUAACUAUCACAAUAUAUCCACUGGGUCAAUGAAACAAUUCCCUCAUGCUCCUUAAACUGUACAAAAUGCACAUUUUUAUCUACUAGCAGAAGUAUUUAACUAUUCCCAAACGCUGGCUGAUGACUAAUCAAUCCCCAUCCAGUCAAGCUAUUGAAUUCAGGAAUAACCAGCAUCUCACACACUUUGUAAUAGCUACUGUAUGAGAAGAGUUUCAAAAUAAUGUGCAAGUCUGAACAGCACAAAUAUUUCCCUCUAUUACAAACAAAUUACUUCAACAGAUUACAAUGAAAGUUUCAAGGUAGGACUGUGGAAAUGCAAAGUUUUCGCUGGUUAUAUGAUAAGGAGCAUGAAGAAAAAGCCAAGAGGUGAGAAUGUGAAGGGAAAGUAAUAAAAGGUAACCAAAUGAUUCAUUUAUUAAAGGAUUGGUUGAACUUGAAGACUUGUUAUACCUCAUAUUUUUCAUUAACAAACAUUUCUAUUUAGUGGGAUUUGUUUGUUUUUUAUUUGUUAAUUUAAGCUCUUCCAGAUGUGGUGUGCAAUUCACUGUGUGCAGUUUGUGUGCCCAGCCCUGCUCCUUUUGAAAUCCACAGGAACCUCUGCAUUGAUUAACAAAGUCAGUCACUAUGCAGGCAAAAAACUUCUUUGAUGAAUUCUCACUUCAGCCACAUUCUUGUGAAUCCUAAAUGAUCUUAUGUUAAAAGAUGCUGGCAUCACAAAAUUUUAGGAAUACCAUUAGUUUUUUGCUCCAUGAUAUAACUCAGAUGUAAAAAAAAUUAAGAUCUACAAGCUGACAUUAUAAAUUACCUUCUCUGUUAUUUGUCCAGGUUCCACGUCAUUGCAAACACUGGACACGGUCACAUUAUUGAGAUGUCUCUCAGAGGGCCAGUUAAUAAAACCAUAUCUUCUGGCUUAUCAGAACAAUAUUAGAAAUUAAUGAAGUUGCAUUUACUUGGUACCAAGUAAUUAAAUAGAUCAUAAUGAAGUGCUAAAUAUAUCCAAAACUUUAAGAUUUUGUCUUUUAAUAUAGAACAGUGUGUGAGAAAGCAAGAGAGAGUCAGUAUCAUUUAAUCUUUUAUGCUUCUGUCAUUUAAUUUUCAGCCACCUAUUGUAACAGGCUAAUUUCAGAUUUACUCUAUAGUUGAGAACUAGAGAAAUGAAAUAUUUUUAAAACAUUAGCGGUUACAAUGUGUCCUGAAACUGCCCCAGAACCUUGGAGACUUAGCUCACCUAAAACUUUAGUCAAUUAAAACUGUUAAAAACAUGGUUAGAACUGUCCGUGCACAAUGAUGGUCACAACCAUGCAAAAUAAUUGCUGGGUAUAAAAUGAAUCUUUCCUCAGAGGCACCUCUGCACACAAAAUUUGAAACAUCAAAGUCCAGUUUACUAAGUGAAUCUUCCCCAAAAUCCUCGGUCUGUAAAAUUUUGCACAAAAACUGCAUACAGUGAAGCUGUCUAUCUUUUACAGUUUUCUGAUAGGUGCAGCCCAAAGACAUACUCUUUCUUGGUCCUCAAAGCUCAAAAUGGAGCAAGAGAAAAUCUGGUUCCUGGGGUGCUCUAAUUCCAGAGUCAUGCCUGGCCUUCGCUGGGCAGAAACUGGAAAUUCAAAAUGCUCAACGUGUUCCUACCCCAACUGUUGCACAUUCCCUACCUGCUCCUGAUUUAAUGUCUGACAGAGAUCAUUUACUCCUCACAGUCGAACACCACUGUUUAAUGUAUGUGAGCUACACAGCAUCCAAGUAAAUAUAUGGCUAAUUGCAGCCAUGGAGAGAUUCCAAUCCCCACAGUUCUGUGUUGAUUUCAAUGAGGAUCAGUCCUGCUCAGAGUCCUGCUCCAAAGCCCUAGAUCUAGUAUUUGGGAAUAAAAUUACUCUCAUUCACCACUUGUUAAAAUAAAUGCAUCAGUAAAGAUUCAUCAGCAAGCAAAACUUCUCAGGUUAUAUGUGCAAAAAUGCACAUAUACCAGAAGAUAUAUGUCGUAUAUUAAAAGUGUUAAAUAGCACACCAUUUUAUUGAUAAAAACACUUAAAUUCUCUCUCUGUCUCUCUCUGUGUGUCUCUUGGGAGCUUUAAACUCAAAUGACUCUGAUAAAAUAUGAACACUUCCAUUGAUUUAUUGUUGAUAGCAAAUAAAUAAAUUUAGGGUAGAAAAUGUACUUUGAGACAUUAUUGUCACUGAGGGACCAACAGUAUACUCAGCUUCCAUGUAACUGUACAGAAAUUUGUUGAAAAUCUCUUUUGCAUAUUCAUGGUCAUUCUAAUGGGCAAUAUCUAUAACCAAAAUCUUUCAUUCCCUUACUAUCCUGUCUAGUUUACAGGAAAAAAGUCAUCGUGAGUAUUUAGCUAAACGGUUAAUAUUAAAGGUAUUCUUCCUGGAGUGAAGGGAUACUUGUACGAAUGAUUGAAUAGGUGUAGAAAAAAUAGCAACAGAUUCAAGAUCACUGAUUUAGAGAUUCUCUACAACACUCAUUUUUUUAUACUUAAUAUACAGAUGCCUGUUGUGCCUAUUUUUUAUGGCUACUUUGCUGCUUUUACUCUUAACUGUUAUUUCUGUUGGUCCCUUUGUGCCCCCAUGGGCAUAGUGUGGAGUAGAGAUGCUGCACAGUCCUAUGGUGCACUGAUGUACCGAGCCAGGUGGGCAGACCCAAUGCAGGAUGAAGGAAAGCAGAGUCCUCUCAAGCACCUGAGGAAAUUGUCUCUGGCCUGAUUUUCUGAAAUGGAUGCCCAAAGCAAUCCAAACACUAUAAUUAGUACAGUAAGAGCAUGUGGAAUGCUGCCAACUACAUGAGAUCUGGAGCUAGCAGGCCUCAGGAAUUACACCGUUCCAGCAGUCACUAGUUAAGAACAAAACCAAACCAAACCCAAAACUCAUUCCAAAUCAAGAAGAGACAGAGGAACCUUACUGGGGUCAGCAUAUUUAGUGAGAGUUACCCAGUUCUCCUGGGCAACUGUUUUUUUUCCUACUGAUCGACAGAUCACGUAUGACAAAAUAAUUUUCAUUACAUGAACCUUUAGAUGGCAGAUGUUCAACAAGACAUUUUGGCAAAGGCUGGGUGAAGAUGACCAGUCCCUGCUGGUUACUCAGUACUUAGCUUGUGCCUGAGACCAAUAACCAAUCCAGAAUUGAAGUUUUCCUUUGCCUAGGUCUGUUGAGGAAUCUAAUCAGAGCAAGGCAUAGUCAGAGCACAUUCACCACACACUAUUAAAGCCAGGAUCCUGCAAAAUCGACUGGCUGCGAGCACUUCCUUACUUUUUGAAUAGGAGCACUGAUUUCUUGGUACAACAUCAGAGAAGAGCAACAGCCUAAGUCAGGUUGGUUUCAAGUUGUUUUUGGUCUUCUCUGGCUUUGACACUUUUAAAAAUGACAUUUAGUAUUUAUGUGAAUUUGAAAGGAUCAAACUAUCUUUGAACCUUUGGCCUUUGAUGACUAUAUGCCCCCACUUACCUAUCUGUAUAUUGAUAAAGACUAUCUUUACCUUUGAGGUCUAUAGAUCAAAGAAACAUUUUGAAAUUAUCCCUAAGAAAAGAGUUCCCUACUAACUCUAAAGUUAAAGCCCAGAUAAGCUUCACACUAAAUGUGAUAGUUUUAUGAUUUAUGCAAUGCUGGUUUCUUUAAGGAUUUCCUGUAAUUGACCUACAUGUGAUAUAUGUAAGUCCUCUACCUCCAAAUGAACAUUACAAUCCAAGGAUGUCAUAAUUCCAUACUGCAGAUGUGCUCUGCUGCGUCAUGUCCUGUAAGAUGUAUCAGAUUAAUAUAAUUCGUGUUAUUCACAGGCAAGACCUGCACGCGUGGGAUAAGCCAAGGCAGACUGACAACCUCACAACAGGAGAUAUUCACUCAGGAGGUGGAAUUUUUUUGUAAUUCUAAUGUUAAUAAAGAAGGAACCAAGCAUAAUCUGAGCAGCUUUAUUUGUUAAGGGUAUUUCUGGCAGUGUAUUUGCCUUGAUGACAAAAAACCCAAUACACUACCAUGAACUUUCGUUUUCCUUUUUCUUCUGUUGUUUUGUUUAUUGCUAGAGCAUUUAAAAAUAUUUUUAUUGCAGAUUCUGUGCUCAAUUUUGGGCUUAAAGUAAAUAUGCUCUACGCUGCUACUAAAAUAAACUUUGUAGUACAGAAACUACUGGCAUUAGGCUAUGACUUAUAUUUCAUAUUUCAUGAAUGUUAUGAAGUCUUACUUAACAGAAAAUCAUGGUUUCGCAGCCUAAAGAUUAUUAUUUAAAACCAACAUUUUUUCUUUGGUAAAUCAAGCUCAGCACUACAACGUAAUAAAAGUUUACUUCCAGUACAUCCAUAAUUCCCUACAGUUGCUGUGUUUUCUAAGUGCUGAAUAACAACAUGCUAUUGAAAAACCACCCAGCUUUGCCAAACAGGGGAAAAUGCCUCAAAAAGCACUCUUUCUUUCUAGUUCCAUAGCCUGUAAAUACAAAACACUGUAGAGAUUUAUAAGUGAAAAAGAAAAAAUAAAGCCCACUCUAACACUUUUUGCAACUGAAGGCUUGUUUAUAAAAAUGUGGUAUUUGCCUUAGAUUAUCAUUUACUGUAAGCAGAAUUAUUUCACAGCUCUGUCAAGCACAUUCACCGCUGCAAGUUUUUCCACUAGCCAUUUAAAUAAGACUACCCUGGUCUAGACACUUAGGCUGUGAUUUGGCUCAUUGAAUUGCAGCCCUGGACAAACAAAAUAAUUCCAUCUGUAGGGAAAGUCAGGCAGCCUGGCUCCCUUUGGAGCUGGAAGAUGGAAACACAAACCACUUGGGAGCAAUUCCUCAGCCUUGGUGCAGGGCUGGUGUGGGUGGAGAUCCCUGUGUUCCCUCCUGCCUUGGGAAGGAGCCACACGAUGCGCUGAGCUCCAGAGCUGCCCACCCAGUGCAGCCCAAAAGCCCCUUGUGUGCCCUGCACCGGCACCGCUUUGUGCCUCCAUCCCCUCCGGCACCUCAAGGGACCUCACAGAACUGCCAUUUAAUAAGUCACUGACAAAGAGCGAUAGCAAUUCGCUUCAUUAAAUGAUCAACAAGAACUACAGGCAAGGACUUAUGAUUUCCAGAAUCCCUUACACUGGUGAGCUGAAGCAAAGCACUUACGAUAAAAUCCUUGGACAGAAAUUUAGACCAGUUUGCAGUGCAGUUACUGCAGUGAGGUAGCUGAUGACCUUGGAAGAGGUGCCAGUUCAGAAAAACAGUAAGUGGAACAAUAAACUUAAUGGUUCUUUUGAAAAAUGCAGUGUGGCUCAGACUGUAAUCUGGUUUGUUUAACAGUGAAAAACAUUUUCCCUUAUAAGCUUCCUAUAUUUUUCCCCUUACGUGGACUUAGCUCAAUCAGAGACUUCGCACUCUCUGCUGCUGAAAUAAAAUGACUUAAUGUGUAACUUUAAACUCGGUCCUUAAUCUUCCAUCAUUCACCUCCUGUAUUAUGCCUUAGCUUAGAGUUAAUGGAAUAUUUAACUGCCUUAAGAGGAACAAUAAAUUGAAGUCAAUGCUCCCCUUCAAGUUUUUAUCCAUAAUUUCACCCAAAUAAAAGAAAAAUUGUUGACUGGUAAACAUUGUAAUGUUUUCUUAAUAGCAUUUUAUUUGUGAGUAUACAGUGAAAUUUCAUUUCAAAAUGUGCUAGUGAAAAAAGAAUGGCUUAUAAAUCACUCAGCUUUAAAUGCUACACAAAGAAUUAUACACAGAAGGGUAUUUUUUUUAUUAUCCUGGGACACGACAUGGCUUUUAGUGCUAUCUGCAGCGUUCUAAAAACAAAAGCUUUCCUCUCUUGAUUCUGAAUGAUUUAUUGUUUAAUGGAAAGCAUAUUUUUGAUGGCAGGUCUCCUCAAAACAGUUACUAACAACAAUGAAAUCCAAAAUUCCCUUCCCACUGCUCACACAUUUCUCUCCUCUUCCUGAUCAAAACUUCAGACAAUUUUUGAAGUCCACUAUGUAAUAACACAACAAGUAGAAAACAACAGAUUCCAACAAUUUUCUGCAGAAAUUUCAGAUUUAUGGACUGUUGCUUCAACGCCAACUCUACCUGUCCUUUCACAGGGAAGUCAAUGGAGUUAGGUCCAGGGAGGAACAGUGAGACCCUCAGCCCCACCAAAAUAUGCGCAGAAACAGCUCUACCAACAUAUUGUUUGGUGGAGAUGCAGGAUGAGAUCCCUACAGAAAGCAUCUAAUUCCCCUCAAUAAUUGCACACAACGAACCUCUUUAACACUGGAGCUGCCCUGGGGAGCCACCCAGGCUGCAGCUGUCCUGCCACUAACCAUCGAACAAAACUCAACAGUGGAAUGUUUCCAUACUAUUACACAUGCCAAAAUCAUGCUCAUGUAACUUUUAUGCUUUUAGUCUACCCUGCCUGACCUGCCAUCAUGCCACAGCUUUCAGAAAAACGAAGCCAACGAAAUUCAAUACAUCUUCCAAUCCAAUGUCUUCCAAAAUGCUGAUGUAAAUACACGAACAGCUCACAGGCUAGUUUUGCAAUGUGCUGGGGAAAUGGCAGUCUAUCACAGAGACACACUGCCUGCCAUCUGCCCCCCUGCUGAAGACUCCUUUGCAGACUGACUUAUAAUGAUCUGUGUAUUGGGUUACCCAUAACCAACAGAGACUCUUACAUUUUACAUUUCACCUACAGGAAUAAAUGACCCUCUUUGUUCAAUUGAGUCUUUCCAGUUGGGGUAAAUCACCCUGAUAACUUGUGGGCAGUUGCCUGGGAACCUUGAUUUGGCUGGAAACAUUUAAGAGUACACCUGAUCUAAAGGGACAGCUGAGCAGCAAUAAUAGAGUGCUGCCACAAGGCUGAGGACAAGGGCUUGUUCUCCUGCACCAGCCCAGCAUCACCAUUUCCAUCUGGCUCAGAAUAACGUGCCAGGCAGCUGCCCAUGGCUCACAGGUUCAGCAGAGCUUGUCCCCGACUGUCUGCAGGAGCUUUUUCAUGGGGCAACAUAAAACGUGCCAGUUGCUUUAGGAGAGAAAGCAGUGUAUAACCUAAUGACCAGUGGGACAUCAUGCCCAGUUGGUUUGUAACCGACCUCUGUGGGCGGAUAUUUAGCCUGUGCCCUGCCUGCAGCUCUCUGCCCG